ACCUCCAUUCCUGCAGGUGGGCUCCUCAAGAAGAGUUUGUGAGGCGGACGGUUCAUGGAGUGGAAUACAGCCUUCUUGCAUUGAUCCAUCCAGCAAUGCAUGUAAGGAUCCCGGAACCCCAUCAUAUGGAAUUCCAGUCCAGGCUCAGGGAUUUGAGGUCGGAAGUAAAAUUUUCUUCAGAUGUCGGAAAAACUAUCACAUCCUCGGCUCAACAACGAGAACAUGUUUAGAAAACUUAACAUGGAGUGGGAUGCAACCAGAGU